rnacentral:rRNA from 1 species
CCCGCUGAACUUAAGCAUAUCAAUAAGCGGAGGAAAAGAAACCAACAGGGAUUGCCUUAGUAACGGCGAGUGAAGCGGCAAAAGCUCAAAUUUGAAAUCUGGCUUCCUAUGUCGGGGCCCGAGUUGUAAUUUGGAGAGGAUGCUUUGGGUGUGGUCGCGGUCUAAGUCCCCUGGAACGGGGCAUCAUAGAGGGUGAGAGUCCCGUCUGGGACCGCUGGCCCCGCCCGUGUAAAGCUCCUUCGACGAGUCGAGUUGUUUGGGAAUGCAGCUCUAAAUGGGUGGUAAAUUUCAUCUAAAGCUAAAUAUUGGCUGGAGACCGAUAGCGCACAAGUAGAGUGAUCGAAAGAUGAAAAGCACUUUGAAAAGAGAGUUAAACAGCAUGUGAAAUUGUUGAAAGGGAAGCGCUUGCGACCAGACUCGCCCGCGGAGGCUCAGCCGCCAUGCUUUGGCGGUGCACUCCUUCGCGGUCGAGCCAGCGUCGGUUCUGACGGUUGGUUAAAGACUCUCGGAAUGUGUCGUCUCUCGGGGCGUCUUAUAGCCGAGGGUGUCAUGCGGCCUCUCGGGACCGAGGAACGCGCUUCGGCUCGGAUGUUGGCGUAAUGGUUGUCAGCGACCCGUCUUGAAACACGG